rfam:Triticum aestivum genome assembly, contig: Triticum_aestivum_CS42_TGACv1_scaffold_642554_T_6DL-0.172394_2DL-0.135651
CAAGUACUCCCUCCGUUCGAAAAUACUUAUCAUCAAAAAUGGACAAAAAUGGAUGUAUCUAAAAUAAAAAAUACAUCUAGAUACAUCUCAUUUUAUUCAUUUUGAUGACAAUUAUUUCUAAAGGGAGGGAGUAAUUC